GGAAUUUCACCUGCCUCAAGAGAUUAGAGCUGUCGUACAACUCAGGGUUGGAAUCGCUACAGCUGCGUUCCUGCACAACGCUGGAAGAGUUGACGGUUGAGUCUUGUGAAUCGCUCGCCACAUUAGAGGGGAAUUUCACCUGCCUCAAGAGAUUAGAGCUGUCGUACAACUCAUGGUUGGAAUCGCUACAGCUGCGUUCCUGCACAACGCUGGAAGAGUUGACGGUUGAGUCUUGUGAAUCGCUCGCCACAUUAGAGGGGAAUUUCACCUGCCUCCAAAAAUUAGAUCUGUUUGACAACCCAAGGCUAAAAUCACUACAGCUGCGUUCCUGCACAGCGCUGGAAGAGUUGACGGUUCGGUCUUGUGAAUCGCUCGCUGCACUAGAGGACUUUUGGUCCCUCAGAUGUCUCAGGUAUU
rnacentral:lncRNA from 1 species